ACCCUAAAAUGAGUUUUGUUACAGCCGCACAUCAAACUCCUUUCCCUCUCAAAUUGUCCCUCCUCCUUCAUCUUCCCCCUCGUUCUUUCACCUCCGACGAAGAACCGGAGCAACGCCGGUCGUUAUCUCGGCCACUCACGCACAUCCUCACUUCAUCCUUAGCCGCUUGAACUGUAUCAUGAGAGAGGAGAUGAGCGAGUGUCGUGACGGAGGGAGAGAGAACGGAGGAGUCAUGACGUCGGUAGUUGCGGCGGGUCUCAACGGCGAACAACACUCCGGCGGUGAAGGUCACGACGCCGUAGUUUCGCCGAAGAUCGGAGCUCGCCGGAGUUAACAUCGGAAUUCGACUAGUCUUGCGUUCGGAUAACCGUUUCGUUCAGUCGGAAAUCCCUAUCAUUUACUCGUGCGUUAUUUUACAAGAAAUCGCAACGCAACCAAUGUUUCUAUAUCCAAAAUGAGAUGCGAUGUAACCCCCUGAUGUAGUGUUUCUCAAAUUUGCUUUAAAACAUCAUUUGAUCAGGAGGAUACUAAUUUGGAUACGAUGUGCGAAGGUGUCUUGAAGCGCAAUUGUGGGUACCAGUCGUUUAUCAUGUUGAUUAUGUUUCUUUCCAGUCGUCAUAAAAAAUGCUUAAAGGCGAUAUUGGGCAUGAGGUGUUUGAUGCUGUCGAUACAUUGCUUCAAAUUCCGAAUAAUUUUUUCCGUCUUUGGACAAUUAUAUCAUCGAAUAAUUUUUUCCGUAUUUGGAUAUUUGUGUAUUUAUUUUUAAUUGACAAUUGUUUUGACA